AUGAAUGGCUUUUACUUAAUGCUCUUUAGUUGCAUUUGUCUUAUGUUUUUCUGUUUUUACAUGCUUAGCACGCCCAGUUUAGGGAGUCUAGGAGUCUGUUUGAUGAAAUAUUCCACAGUCGUCCCGAGGAAGAAGAGUAUCCACCACGGGAUGAUUUCAGUGAUGCAGAUCAGCUUAGAGUGGGCAAUGAUGGCAUCUUCAUGUUGGCAUUUUUCAUGGCAUUUAUUUUCAACUGGAUUGGAUUUUGUUUAUCCUUCUGUAUAACAAAUACCAUAGCUGGAAGGUAUGGUGCAAUCUGUGGAUUUGGUCUCUCUCUGAUCAAAUGGAUUCUCAUUGUACGGGUAUGUUUUUUGAUUCUGUUUGUGAAACCAGCCCUUAACAGUUUAUCCAAGCAUACACAGUAUUGGCACUAUAAACAAGUAAAUUAAUUCCAGCACUUAUUGCUUAGAACUUUUUCUAACUUGCGCUUUAGUAGGGAAUUUACUUGCUAUAAAUUCAUAUAUACUUAGUAACGAUGAAGCUUAAUCUAUUUUUCUGAUUUACCAUUUACGUGGCACUUCCUCUAAAAUAAAUGUAGAUUGACUCAUUCUUUGCACAAAUAUUUAAAAGCAUGCAGAAGUGGAGCAAAUAUUAAAAUAUCAUUUUUAUUAUUCAGAAAGUUUCCUAAAAGAAAGACUUAUAAGUGGUGGCUCAGCCUAUCAAGGGGGAGAAAAAAAAAAAACCACACUGCUUUCUUAUAUCUUACAGGGGAAAAGAAAACCAGGUACAUNAAAUGUAAGUUUUUUUUUUUUUUUUUUUUUUUUUUUUUAAAGAUAUAUGCUUAGAGAAGCAGGUGAAGUGGGAUUAAUAAUGCUGUGAUCUUUCUGGGAAUUGAGUAUUCAUUUGAUAUUUUAAUGAACUUACAAAAUGCAUAAUGCUUACUGCUGAAUAAUAGAAACUGUAUUAUUUAUAUGGGGGUAAAGUAUGUACUGGUUCUUUUAGUUCAACUCAGCAAUUCUGUUUCUAGAUUUUUUUUUUUCUUGAUUAUCAUUAGAAAUGAAUGCAGUACAGCAUUAAGCCUUUAAAGGUUUCAGAGGAGGUAGCUUUAUUUUGAAGAAAACAUUUUAAUUUCAGUGCAGUUACUUGAGGGGAACGAGGAAUAACAGCUAUAUCUACAGUUCUUUUAGCAUCUGUGAUUUUUAUCUGUUUGAAGAGGUUGCCUGAUACUACCUUUUUUUUGUAAAGUGAUGCCUGAGUUGCAUGAUUUCUUGGUUGAUAACUACUGAAAUGCCCUAGAAAAGA
rnacentral:lncRNA from 1 species